rnacentral:lncRNA from 1 species
UAUAAACAGACAUUUCACUAGCUUUCUACAUGCAGUUGUCAGUGUAGGUUAAUCCAGGCCUGACACAACCCUCAGAUUCACUCUAGGGCCUCUCAGCACAGACUACCCUUGUUAUGAAUGGUGUCAGGCAGUGUGAUGGCUUUGUGUUCGUGAUGUAACACCACCACUGCAGGUAGCAGAAGCUGCCACUUAUUUUAUUCUAGCUUGGGAACUUGAAACACAUUUUAAAAAAGCCCAGAACCAAAAAGGAACCUCAACAAACCCACAAACAAACAGCAUAAAAAUAUAAUUUUUUUUUCUUUUUUCUUUUUUUUUUUGUUUUAAUGGGUAUAUCAGCCAUCAUUCAUAAGUGAAAACUUAGACUGUCCAGGUUCACAGACCUUAUCAGUUGUAAACUAGUUUUUGCAAAACCAGCUGUGGAAAAUAGCACUUUCUGCAAAUAUGUUCCAUGUCUUCUAGAAGGUAGAAAAUAAGAACAUCACAUUUGAGAAGCUGGAAAAAUGGAUUAUUUUCUAUUAUUAUUAUUAAGACUAUCACUCCUGAUGACUCUAAAACAAGGAUAGGGAGGAAGAAGACAAGAGGACAGCAGACAUCUUUAGAUCAAGACUUUUCCUUACCAUUAAAGUGUGAUAAAUGCCUAUUGACUACACAUCUAAGUAAAAGUACAGUGG